GUCAGCAUGGAUUAGAUGGUUCCGUUACGUUAUCAGAUUUUGUUUGGGAAUUUUCUUUGAAAACUUUGGUUUUAACGAAGCAAACAUUAGUUUGUUAAUAAUUACUCUUGAAUGGUUAGCACAAUUUCCUUGCAUCUAUGGUGAGAAAGGCAAAGUGAAACGAAGUUUUGUAUAACUUCAUACGUUUUUCAGCAUCUAUUGAAACCAACUGAGACUUCCGAUUUUUAGGAACAAAAUGCAAUUUCCUUUUUUU
rnacentral:misc_RNA from 1 species